CGCGUAGGCGGUCAUUUAAGUCAGCUGUGAAAUGGUUUGGCUUAACCGGAUCAUGCGGUUGAAACUGGAUGACUGGAGUGCUGGAGAGGCAAGUGGAAUUCCCAGUGUAGCGGUGAAAUGCGUAGAUAUUGGGAAGAACACCGGUGGCGAAGGCGACUUGCUGGCCAGUAACUGACGCUGAGGCGCGAAAGCCAGGGGAGCAAACGG
rnacentral:rRNA from 1 species